rnacentral:rRNA from 1 species
CAGCAGCCGCGGUAAUACGGAGGGAGCUAGCGUUAUUCGGAAUUACUGGGCGUAAAGCGCACGUAGGCGGCUUUGUAAGUAAGAGGUGAAAGCCCAGAGCUCAACUCUGGAAUUGCCUUUUAGACUGCAUCGCUUGAAUCAUGGAGAGGUCAGUGGAAUUCCGAGUGUAGAGGUGAAAUUCGUAGAUAUUCGGAAGAACACCAGUGGCGAAGGCGGCUGACUGGACAUGUAUUGACGCUGAGGUGCGAAAGCGUGGGGAGCAAACAGGAUUAGAUACCCGAGUAGUCCAUGUCUCUUAUAC